CAGCCUGGGCUGCAGAAAGAGCACAUGUGGGACAGAGCUGCCCAGCUGAUUUGCAGGCCAGCAGGGAGAAGCAGAGCCGACCAGCCAGCACAGCACUAAAGCCUAACUACACGAGGCCAACAUGCACACCCGCUGAGUUCUGGAAUGGUUUAUGACAUAGCAUUGCUGUGGCAACAAUAUGAAGCAAUAUGAACACCUGCCCUAAUAGGUUACAGGCUCAGCAGCUACCAUAGAGACCCAGCACAGCAGUGCUGGAAGGCCGGAACUACGCUGCAAGGCUCCCUUGCUACAGGGCGCUGCUGAGAAAGUGUACUCAUGGCAAAGUGAGGAGGUGAAAAGGAGAUGUGACACUGUGUCUUCUGAAGCUGGGUCAUGAAAAGGACAACUUCUGCCUGGCACUGGCUCUGUCUCUUAGAUCACUCACUGUGGAGGACACCAGCCAUCAUGCUGUGAGGACCUUCCAUCAAGUAGCGUGUGCACAGGCUCCGUGGGGAGGAACCGAGGCCUCUGACAACUCGCCAGUGUGAGAGUGAGUGAACCUCCCAGAGGUGGAUCCUCCAGCGCAAGUUCCACCUUCUUCAUGGACUCUCCCCAGGUCACCUAACCUUCCCUCCUCUGAACUGCUACCUUCCUUCUCCGUAUUAUUAUCGCUGUAAUCAUGCAUUGC